AGAGUUUGAUCCUGGCUCAGAUUGAACGCUGGCGGCAGGCCUAACACAUGCAAGUCGAGCGGAUGAGAAGAGCUUGCUCUUCGAUUCAGCGGCGGACGGGUGAGUAAUGCCUAGGAAUCUGCCUGGUAGUGGGGGACAACGUUUCGAAAGGAACGCUAAUACCGCAUACGUCCUACGGGAGAAAGCAGGGGACCUUCGGGCCUUGCGCUAUCAGAUGAGCCUAGGUCGGAUUAGCUAGUUGGUGAGGUAAUGGCUCACCAAGGCUACGAUCCGUAACUGGUCUGAGAGGAUGAUCAGUCACACUGGAACUGAGACACGGUCCAGACUCCUACGGGAGGCAGCAGUGGGGAAUAUUGGACAAUGGGCGAAAGCCUGAUCCAGCCAUGCCGCGUGUGUGAAGAAGGUCUUCGGAUUGUAAAGCACUUUAAGUUGGGAGGAAGGGCGGUAAGCUAAUAUCUUGCUGUUUUGACGUUACCGACAGAAUAAGCACCGGCUAACUCUGUGCCAGCAGCCGCGGUAAUA
rnacentral:rRNA from 1 species